AGUGAACGCUGGCGGUAGGCCUAACACAUGCAAGUCGAACGGCAGCACAGGAGAGCUUGCUCUCUGGGUGGCGAGUGGCGGACGGGUGAGGAAUACAUCGGAAUCUACCUUUUCGUGGGGGAUAACGUAGGGAAACCUACGCUAAUACCGCAUACGACCUACGGGUGAAAGUGGGGGACCGCAAGGCCUCACGCGACUAGAUGAGCCGAUUUCCGAUUAGCUAGUUGGCGGGGUAAUGGCCCACCAAGGCGACGAUCGGUAGCUGGUCUGAGAGGAUGAUCAGCCACACUGGAACUGAGACACGGUCCAUACUCCUACGGGAGGCAGCAGUGGGGAAUAUUGGACAAUGGGCGCAAGCCUGAUCCAGCCAUACCGCGUGGGUGAAGAAGGCCUUCGGGUUGUAAAGCCCUUUUGUUGGGAAAGAAAUCCUGUCGAUUAAUACUCGGUGGGGAUGACGGUACCCAAAGAAUAAGCACCGGCUAACUUCGUGCCAGCCGCCGCCGUAAAAC
rnacentral:rRNA from 1 species